rnacentral:rRNA from 1 species
GAACUUCAACAGUCCAUUGAUAUGUUCUUGCCUAGAAUCGGAUGCAUUUUCAAAGUAUUAACUGAACCUGGAUCUAUAACAUUGACAGCUAGUCGAAUCAGUCUAUUUUGGUAGCGACAGUCGUGUUAAAAAUAUGACUUGCAUAAAUAACAAAUUCGACUUGGCGUUAUAGGUAAACUGACAAGUUCUUUGAUUUCAGUACUUUGUACGGCACGCCAUGAGCAUUGUUUGUGUUACAUGAGUAACUAAUAUCUAAAUAUUAGUUUUAUUCAUGUCAAUGCCUAAUGUUUUGUGGCUGUCAAUGAAAUCGGCAAGUCAACAGGAGUUUUGAAUGCCGAGUUAUUCGACCCGUCUUGAAACACGGUCUAAGGAGUUCACUGCAUGUGCAAGAGUUCGGCUGUAUGAAAAGCCUUGCUCGUAAUGAAAGUAAAGAACAUUCUUGCAAUGUUUGAAGUGUGAUUUCUGUCAUCUGGUGCAAAUCAUGACAAUGAACGCAACACUGACAGGUUCUAUUGCCGUUGGCAAAGAGCUUAGUAAGAGUAUAUGCAAUGAGACCCGAAAGAUGGUGAACUUAACGUGUGUAGAAUGAAGCCAGGGGAAACCCUGGUGGAAGUUCGUAGCGGUUCUGACGUGCAAAUCGAUCGUCAAACAUGCGUUAAGGGGCGAAAGACUAAUCGAACCAUCUAGUAGCUGGUUCCGUCCGAAGUUUCCCUCAGGAUAGCUGGCAUUCAAUUUUCACAGUUAUAUCCGGUAAAGCGAAUGUUUAGAGGCAUUGGGCGUAAAAUACGCUCAACCUAUUGACAAACUUUAAAUGGGUAUGAAGUUCAUUUUUCUACUUCAUUGAGAAUGAACAGCGAAUGUGAGUGCCAAGUGGGCCAUUUUUGGUAAGCAGAACUGGCGCUGUUGGAUGCACAAAACGUCAAGAUAAAGAGCCAGAUGGUCUCGCUCAUCAGAUACCAUAAAAGGUGUUGGUCGAUAUAGACAGCAGGACGGUGGCCAUGGAAGUCGGAAUCCGUUAAGGAGUGUGUAACAACUCACCUGCCGAAUCGACUAGUCCUAAAAAUGGAUGGCGCUCGAGCGAGCCUCUUAUACUUGACUGUUACGAUACAAUAAGCCAUUAACGGACAUCAUGUCGUAACAAGUAGGACGGUUGAUAUGGUUGCGUCGAAGGCUAACACGUGAGUGUGGCUUGAGCAGUCAUAUGUACAGAUCUUAGUGGUAGUAGCAACUAUUCAAAUGAGAACUUUGAAGACUGACGUGGAGAAAGGUUCCAUGUGAACAGCUAUUGGACAUGGGUCAGUCAGUCCUAAGAUGCGCUCGAAAGAGGGUUCCGAACGAGGAAUAUCUAUAUUCAUUUAUAUUCCAUCAAAUCGAAAGGGAAACAAGUUAAUAUUCUUGUACUAAGUGUCGGAGAUUGUUUGAUUUCGUGUCAAACAUAUGUGGUAACACAAACAAGCUCAAAUACAUCACAAGUGGUCCUGGAAAGAGUUUUCUCUUCUUUGUUACUUCAUCAGACGACCCUGGAAUCAGUUCAACUGGAGAUAGGGUUCAAAUGAAGGUAAAGAGUAGCCGUUCUUGCUACUUCCUCGGUGCAUCAUUUGUGAUCCUUGAAAAUUUGAGCGAGAUAUUCAAUUUCGCACUUAUCUGUACUCUAAACCGCAUCAGGUCUCCAAGGUGAAAAGCCUCUAGUCAAUUAGAACAAGGUAGCACAAGGGAAGUCGGCAAAAUCGAUCGGCAACUUCGGGAUAACGAUUGGCUCUAAGUGCUAGGGUGUUCGGGCUUGAUGAUAAAGCAGUAGACUUGCUAUUGGAGCUGAGCUUUCGGAUGCAGCAAUGUGUCUGAUCGUUCGGACUAGUGGCUUGUCUUGCUGUGGAAUCGUUUUGCUACGGUAUGCGAUUCGCUUGCGGGUCGUAUUACUUCGGACAUCGUUUAAUAGCAAACUUAGAACUCGCUGCGUCUAGGGGAAUCCGACUGUCUAAUUAAAACAGAGCUUUGCGAUUGGCCGGAAAACUUGGUGUUGACGCAAAGUGAUUUCUGCCCAGUGCUCUGAAUGUUAACGUGAAGAAAUUCAAAUAAGCGCGGGUAAACGGCGGGAGUAACUAUGACUCUCUUCUGGUAGCCAAAUGCCUCGUCAUCUAAUUAGUGACGCGCAUGAAUGGAUUAACGAGAUUCCCACUGUCCCUGUCUACUAUCUAGCGAAACCACAGCCAAGGGAACGGGCUUGGACUUCAAUGCGGGGAAAGAAGACCCUGUUGAGCUU